ensembl:lncRNA
UUUCUGGUUGGAGAUCCUUCCCUUGUGGAGUUUUCCCUGCAAGCCUAGAUGUUCAGAGGAGUAACCUACAGGAGCCGGUCCAUUUGCAUGAGUAAGAAGGUGGAGCCAGUGAGAGAAGAGCUGUUUGCUGAUGUGAUGAAGUUAUGCCUAUGGGCUCUGGUGCUACUUAUUUCUUGUCAGAUUUCAUUAUAAUCAGCCAAGAUAAAUACUGGGACAGUGGAGCUCUAUCCAUACAAAAUCAUGUCAGUCUUGAUCUGAGACAGACUAAAUACACAUGUGUAAGCAGCAUUAUCUCCUACAACUCUUCAGUCAUCUCUGCUACCUAUACCUUAAGAAAAAUAUUACUACUUGGAUUCCCUUAGAUUGUUGAAGUGGCUCUGUUCCAGGAAAAAUAAUUCCACACCAGUGCAUGUAUGACCUGACAUAACUCCGAAAAUGUGAAAGAUGGUAUGCUAAUGAAGCAGGCUGUGUUAAUUUGAUGAAAUUAAAAAUCAAGGCAGUAAGUAGGAAGUCAAGUUUUGCAAUGUGACAAGAUACAGGAAGGGCAACUCUGCUGGCAGACAUGUAAGAAGAUGUGAAUUCAGAUGAUGGUGGAGCCAAUGUGGUGGGAGGUGGUGAAAUCUGCAGGGAGCCCUCACAGCAGGAGGCUGAUGAAGUGUUGGAAUGACUGUAUCUGAGAUGGUGGCAGAAACAUGAGUAUCAGUGCUGUUAUGGCAGACAGAUUGCUUGCACAGUGAUUCAGAUCUAGAUGAGGUUAGGAGGAGGUGAAUAAUAAGGAAGGGGAAGUGAUUAGCCCUGGGCAGUAGAUUUUUCUAUUUUCUUCCCCAUAACAGGUGCCAGCAGUAGGUGCCUUUGAAACAUGAAGAUUGUUGAUGUCAGAAAUAUCAGGAGCUUUGCCUUCCUUGUGCAACUACAAAACUUACUGUCAUUGUGUAGUAUGUCAUGGGCAUGGACUUAGUCUUUUUACAUUUGUGACUGAAGAAGUACUUUCUGACUCUAGAGUUUAUUUUAUGAUUAGGAUAGGGAAUAAUAUUAUAGAAUCCUUAGAGU